GACUGAACAGCUGACUGAACAGCUGAAUGAACAGCUGACUGGACAGCUGACUGAACAGCUGACGGAACAGCUGACUGAACAGCUGACUGAACAGCUGACUGGACAGCUGAUGGAGGCUGUGGUCAGUGGAGACUUUGAGGCCUCUGUAUCAUUCACGUUGGGUCUGUAUGCAGAACAGACAGAAGUAAGGACACAUGGCUUGUACAGCACAGUCUGCGUUAGCUUAUGUCGAGAGCGCCAGAGUCCACCUGGUGGGAGAGUUAAAGAAUCUGUCAGUGAUCGUGGAAAACUUGUAUCAGCAAGGAGUUUUCCAGGAUGAAGAGGUCAGUGAAAUACAGGCAGAGAAACAUGACCAUGAUAAAACCAGACACAUACUGAACUCUGUCAUAAAGAAAGGGGAAAAAGCCUGCUACAAGUUCCUCAAGAUCAUUGACACAACGAGAAAGAGGACCUUAGGGAGGCCGACCCCUCUGCCUGAGAGAAAUACUGAACCUGUAUUUGACCUGCAUUACUGGAUCAGCUGCUUUUCUUUCAAGGAAGACGCACAAAUGGAUGUCGAGUACUUCCAAGGCUUAAGGCCGUGUCAUGAAUAUCAGAGAAAGCUGAAGAUGAAAACACGAAAAAUAUCAAGUGAGUUUUGGACGGCCAACAAACGUCUUUUUGGAGAGAAUAACAAGCCUGAUCUGUCGUACACUCCACUUGUAUUAGACACACAAGAAAGUGUUUCUCCAUAUAAAAUAAAGAAAUAUAAGAACAAGAAAAGCAGAAUGAGUCGCCCUAAAAAGAUGAAGAAGUACCUGCCUGUGGACAGACCAGAGAUUUCCCCCAGUGAGCUGCUGAAAACAGAUAAAAACAUACUCUUGGUUGGUCAGCCUGGAAUUGGAAAGACAGCACUUGCUCAUGAAAUGUUGAAACUCUGGGCAGAAAGAGACAACAAGGAUCUAGAUUACAUGUUUUACUUUGACAUGAGAAACACACUCAUCACGUCGACCAUGAGCUUGGACGAUCUUCUUUUCUGUGUGUUCAGUGAACCGGAUAGAGGCAAAGAAGAGGUCUUACAGGACAUAAAGGAGAACUCUGACAAUGUUACAAUCAUUUUUGAUGGGCUCACAGAUCUCUCUUCUUCAGUGGUGAGGAGGCUUGUAGAGAAGGAUCUACUACCUUAUGCCAAGGUCAUCGUGACUUGCAGACCAGAUGAUGAAGAAGACUUCCUAUCUGAGAACUUUCUCAAAAUGGAAGUGAACGGCUUCAGUGAGCAGACCAUAAAAACAUAUUUAUCUGCAAUGCUCGGCGAUGAACAGAAGAAAGUUUUGAGCAACUUGGAGCUGUUCACUCUUUGCCAUGUCCCGAUGUAUGCACUGAUGGUGGCUGCCUGCUUUUCAGAAGACUCUCCACAGCCGUGCACGAUAACUGAAAUCUACAUCAAUAUUGUUCGUUCGUGCCUUCAAAUGAACAGCAACAAGACACGAAACAAAGAUCUGAAUUCCUUCAUCACAAACAAGUGUGAGGAAAUACUGCGUUUGGCUGAGGUUGCUUUUCAUGCAACUGAAGGAAAAACUGUGAACUUGCCUGAAAUGCCCUGUGAAGACAGCUGCGUCCUUUCCUUCCUGAAACCACUUUUUAUCAAAGCCGCCCUCACUGAGACAAUAACCACAUAUGCCUUCCUCCAUUACACAAUGCAGGAGUUUUUUGCAGCACUGUGGCUCCUGAAGAAUCCAGAUAAAAUCAAGGAUGUUUUGCAGCAGUGCCUCACUGAGGAGAAGAAACACAUGAAACAUGUGAUCCCUUUCUUGUGCAGAUUGUUGAGUGAGAAGAGCCCUUGUCUGAUGAAGUGUCUGAUUCCAGCUCAGGAGCUCAAGAAUACAUCCAAGUGGUUCUUCAAGGAAAUGAUAAACACAUUUUUCGCAAGUGGGCUUGAUGUGGACAUACUGUUCUUAUGCCAGUGCUUGUAUGAGUCCCAGUGUCCUGAAGCAUGCAUCUACCUCCUGGACAAACUGGAGUACCGUCUUGACCUCAGUGGAGAAAGUCUUGAUCCGAACCUUUGCUGUGCUGUUGCCUACGUGGUCACUCAGUCAAAGGAGAGGAAAAUAUCACUGAACCUUGAGGACGUCAUGGUGUCAGAGCAAGGAAUGAGACGGCUAUCUGGAUGUCUGCAGAAUGUCCAAUGGUGUGACCCUCUGCCACGGCAGCUGUGGGAGAUUUUCCUUCUCAGCGAAGGGCAGAUGGACGACAUCGGGUUACUCAGCCUCGAUGGAAAUCAGUUGCACCUUCCAGUCGAAGGUAAAAGACGGCUGUUUGAAAGAGCGGUAAACGUCAUGCAGAAGGUCACUAUGAAGGUUAAUGUCUGCCUUCACUGGGAGAGGGAAACUCCUGACUGCCAAAGGCUGUGUGAGUGCCUGUUAGAGGCUUUGCCAUCCAUCAGCUCACUCAGCUUCAGGGUGACCUACAGAUGUCCAGGAUAUCAGGAUCAGGAGCAUCAAAGGACACUGGGGAAGGAGGAGAAGCAGCUGUUACUGGAUUUAUGCCUGAGAGCAGCAUGGCACAAAGCAGAAAGCUUUCUCAGCGUAGUGAACAUGCUGCUCUCUUUUUUUUCUGUUAAUGCCGACUUGAAUAACUUCCUCCUUGAUUUAUAUCAACACGUCAAGGGUAAAGGAUUUUCAGAUAUCAUUCCAAAACUGGAGCCACUUUUCCAGUCAGCUCCCACAGUCUGGUUCAUAGACCUCUCAGAGAGAAAGACCUCCAUCCUCCUGGAAGUGCUGAAACUCCAAUCAAAGAAGAAACAAGUGAAGCUAACAGACUGCUCACAUGAAGAGAGUGAAGUGAGGAGUUUGCUACAGUGUCUGCCUUAUAUCUCACAGCUCAGUUUCUCUCAGCGCUUUGAAGGUCAAGUCGAGUUCAUUGUGAAUCUGUUCUGUGCAGCAGCAGAGAGAGAACAGCAGACAGGAGAGAAGAUAGUGAAGCUGUUAUCAUCAGUGUGCACAUAUCAAACAUUCCCUUUCAAUAGAAAUUAUCAGAAACAUCAGAGUGAUUUCCUGCUGGAUCUGUUCUCCCAUGUGAAGGACUAUGAAACCAAAACAGGCUUGAGUGUCCUUCCAUCAUUACAGUCAGUUUUCCAGUCAGCUCCUGCAGUCUGGUUCAUAGACCUCUCAGAGAGAAAGACCUCCAUCCUCCUGGAAGUGCUGAAACUCCAAUCAGAGAAGAAACAAGUGAAGCUGACAGACUGCUCACAUGAAGAGAGUGAAGUGAGGAGUUUGCUACAGUGUCUGCCUUAUAUCUCACAGCUCAGUUUCCCUCGGCGCUUUGAAGGUCAAGUCGAGUUCUUUGGGAAUCUGUUCUGUGCAGCAGCAGAGAGAGAACAGCAGACAGGAGAGAAGAUAGUGAAACUGUUAUCAUCAGUGUGCACAUAUCAAACAUUCCCUUUCAAUGGAAAUUAUCAGAAACAUCAGAGUGAUUUCCUGCUGGAUCUGUUCUCCCAUGUGAAGGACUAUGAAACCAAAACAGGCUUGAGUGUCCUUCCAUCAUUACAGUCAGUUUUCCAGUCAGCUCCUGCAGUCUGGUCCAUAGACCUCUCAGAGAGAAAGCCCUCCAUCCUCCUGGAAGUGCUGAAACUCCAAUCAAAGAAGAAACAAGUGAAGCUGAGAGACUGCUCACAUGAAGAGAGUGAAGUGAGGAGUUUGCUACAGUGUCUGCCUUAUAUCUCACAGCUCAGCUGUGAUGAAGACUUCUUCCAGACUGUGUGUACCUGCAUCUCUGUGAGAUCCAGAGAGGAGGCCGAGCAGCUGUCGUCUCUGCUGAAGCUCCUGGGGUUCACCCUGCUGCUGACAGGACAGUUAAGCAGGAAAACCUGCAGGUCUGCGGGGGCGGUUCUGAGACUUUGUGGCUCUGAUGUGGAUCUCACCCUGACACCCAGAAAGAUGUCUGUCCGAGGAGCCUCCCUCCUGUUUAGACGUACAACACAACUCCACAGUCUGAGGCUGUCCGCUGACAUGGCCUUGCUGCUGUUUCGAUGGGUAAGACGAGGGAGAGUGGCCUGUUCGUUAGCUAUUGAAGAGCUUUCUCUUGGCCCUCAGACAGUCCGAGCAUCAGAAAGAGGAUUGUCAAAGGUUGUCAGUAGUUUGGCAUCCCUGCUGAGGUGCUGGACUGUCAGACAGUUAGACCUGACUGAGUUCUGCGUCUCUGCUCAGAGUCUCAUUCCACUGCUGCUUCAUGACGGCCCUCUAACAAUCAAACUGAGUGAGAUCACCUUCCAGGAGCUACUCUCCCUCCUUUAUGAAGUCCAGGAUGAGGUCUUGACCCGGUCCUUCUUGAGUAAAGUUGGUGGAGAUCUGAGCUCCUGCUGUCUGAACUGGGAGCUUCUUCACUAUCUGCUGCAGCAGUCUCCAGCUCAGACCAUCACUGUGAACCUGAGGAAGAACCGCUUCUUACAGGAGAACAUCACACGUCUGCGUCCCUUUCUGGACAGGAUUGUAUUUAAAAGACUCUGCCCCAGCUUUGUGUUGGCUGUCAUCAGAGAGAUCUAUAAAGCUCGUGACAGUCUCAUUAUACCCGGUUUACUGAGGUCACUGGAUCAUGUGAUCAGCCUGACCUGCAGAGAGAUGGACUCUGAGGACUGUGCUGCUCUGAUCUUCACUCUCAAACACAGUGACAGAGUCAGACUGAACCUCCUGUGGACCUCCAUACCAGCAGGGGAAACAGAGUCCAUCCUCUUCACACUGGACAAAGUUUCUCAGCUCAGUGUUGACAGGAACCUGCUGCUGAGGUUCGUCCACUGCUGUGCUGCCUCUGAGGUCCAGCAGGGGGCAGCUGUCGACCUGCUCAGGGCCGUGCAGCACAGACUGGACCUGUCCUGCUCGUCCCAUGUGGAGCUGUCACAGGAGGGUCAGAGUGAGACUCUCAGUCUGACUGCUGAGGACUGCAGGGCCGUCUCCACCAUCCUGAGACGCAGCAGCAGGAAAACACAGCUGGACCUGCAGGACUGUGAGGUGGAGGACAGCGGGCUGGACCUGCUGCUUCCUGUCCUAGACGGAGUCCGCCUCAGAGCCGGUAAAGCUGUCCUCCUCCAGCUGGUGUCCCUGGUUCCUGUGAGCAGUGAGAGGGACACAGUGAGACGGGCAGUGUCCCUGUGUAGAGCCCUGGGUGGAGAGCUGGACCUCAGUCACACCACACUGGAUCAGAGGACCUGUGCAGGUUUGGCCCAGAUGCUGGACUUCUCUGAAGUGCUGACAGAGCUGGACCUGAGUCACUGUGAGCUCACUGACCAGCUGCUGCUCACGCUCAUCACACAUCUGCACAAAGUCCAAGUCCUGGAUCUGAGUCACAAUAAGAUCACUGAUGCUUCAGCUGACAUGCUACUCCAACUGGUCUCCAUCAACCCGUCCAUCCACACUGUGCGACUCUUCAACAACAACAUCGUGGACAGGAAACCCUUUGAAAGAGACCGGCAGUUUGAAAUCUGGUGAACCAGACGUCAGUGUGGAGAUGUGCUGAGCAGAGAUCAACUGAUGUUUAAUGAUCAUUACAUGGAAAUAUUACUGCAGUACUAAUACUGUUAACGAUACUGUAAUACAACAUGGUGACAUCAGUCCUCCAUUCCCUUGGAGAAGGCCGGCAGCAGGACCUGGUCUUUACCUGCUGUCACCAUCAGAGCAGGUUGAAAUCACGACUGCGUGGGAAACUCCUCAUCCUGCAGCUGCUGCAGGAGCACAGGACAUUCUGACAGAUGAAACAGCAACCCCAUGAUGUAGUUCAUGUGAUUCUGAUGUUUUAGUGACUCUCUAACUUCUUUUGUUUCUGAUGCUGCCGUCUGUAACAAACCUUUCCAGUGGGACGAGAACACAUCCACUUCCAGUUCGCCUCCCUGUUCCGAUACCAGUUCAACGGCCUCCUGUGACACGAAACACAAGACGAUUAUUGACCCACUGCACUGUGAGCUCAUAUUUAUUCAUGAAGUUAUCAAACGCUGCUUCACAUUCUCCACCCUGAGUAUGUUUAAGUCCAUGUAGGCACCAUCAGUUUAAACCAGAGCUGCAGAUGAAGAUUAUUUUUCUUUGGUGACCUCAUGCAUCGAUUGUUUGCAACAUGUCUUCAGGAGGCUCUUUGUCACUGAAUGACUUCUGCUUGAUCUGUUCAGUGUGCAGACCUGAAGCCUCGCUCUUUGUACUGGCUGACGUAGUACUGCAGCUCGGCCUCCGUCAGCAUGGAGCUCCGGGGAAUCUGCUCCGGCAGACCCACAAACAGACCUCCUGUAACACGACACAAGCAACACAUGACAGCACUUACUGGUGUUUUUCAUGAGCUCUUCAAAAUGUCUGCAGGAACUUUAACAAAUGGUUUUUAGCAGGAAGUCUCCAGUCAGACUUCAGGGUGCAGUCUCACCUCGAGCACAGACUCCUGCAGUGCUGAUCGGAGGACGCGUCGCCUGACAAGACAGAAGGUAAUACUGAGCCAUGACCCACACCAACAUGCCGCCCCAGUCAUGACCCACCAGGGUGACCUGUGGUAUCGACUGGAAAAGGAACAGAGAGAAGAAAUCAUGCACCAGAGACCGCUGCAAAAUCACAAGACGUAUCUGAGGACUGUGUGUCUUCUCUUGCUGCUGCUGCUGCUGCUGCUGCUCGGGUCAUGCAUGAGACUUUGUCCUCUGAAUGAAGUCACACAGCAGGUCCGCCCACUUUACCCACAAGCUCACACUCAGGACACUUGGCUGCCUCUGCAGGAGUGUUUCUCAACAUUGUUCAAUGCGUCAGGGAAAGAAUCCAGAUUCACUUCUGAAUUUAAAAAGUGUCAAUACAUUUUGAUCAUCAGCUGAAUUUUACAAUCCCUUCAAACAAAGAUCACACACACUUUGAUUCACAUCUUUAUUGGAUUAUUACAGAAAUGAUCAUACACUCUUUAUUGUAUACUCUUACACAAACAGCACAGUAUACACAUACAAAUGUUGGCGUAUAGUCAAUGAAAAAACCUGAAUAAACACAAAUGUCAGCAUGUUAGAAAAAUCUGCACAUUCUCAAACAGACAUAUAAAAUGAAAAUGUGCAAAUGCACUAUUUGCUCCAGAUUGUCUGAUUAAAAACUCCAGUGAGCAGCUAUUUUAGGAAAUGACUGAGCCAUGUCUCUGCUCAUGACGCCUUUAUGUUCUUAAUUAGAGCCCGUUCACUUCAGCAGUUAAUGCUCAAUCUCAGUCAAGGCUCUCUGUUGAUCUCUGAUCUCUGGAGGUUCACCCUCCAUGCAGCUUGUGCUUUUUAUACAGGGUAGUGCAUAUUACCUGGAUAACUGCAACUCCUGUUUGUGCAGGAUAAACAUGACAGGCUGACCAAAAUGUCCAUUUCAUGUAAUGUUAUAUAAUGAAGCGCUUGGUGCUGGGUUAGUUACUGCAGAGUCUGAUGAUAAUUCUCUCUGGCUUCAUCAUAAGAAAUAAAAGUUAAUUUGUCUUUGUU